rnacentral:lncRNA from 1 species
CCAAAAUAGCAAAAGAAUUGCUGCAUUAAAAGAGCAAAGUGGGAGACAUCACCAUCUUGGACUUGAAGCUAUAUUACAAACUACUGUGAUAAAAACAAACAAACAAGCAUGGUACUGGCACAAAAACAGACAUGAGGAUCAAUGGAACAGAGCAGAGGACGCAGAAACAACCCCAAGCACAUUCAACUAUUUCACCUUUGACAAAGGGGACAGAAACACACACUGGCAGAAAGAUAGACUCUUUGAUAAAUGAUGUUGGGAGAACUGGUUAUCCACAUGCAGGAGAUUAAAUCUAGACCUCGAACGAGGAAAUGAAACUUAAAACAUAGACAAAGGCACCCACCUGCCCUUCCACUUUCUGCCAUCGGUUGAAACCAGCUGAGACCCUCAGCAGAAGUUAAGCAGAUGCAAGAACCAUGAUUUUGGAUUUUGUAGUCUCCAACCCUGAGGCAAAGGAAAAUUCUAUUCUUUAUAAGUCACUCAGCUACAGGUGUCUGUUUACCACAACAAAAAUGGACUGAGACAGUCAUAUAUAAAAAGAAUGAGUGAUAAAGUUGGAAAGAUCAGAAAUCAAGAACAUUACACAAGGGGGCAAAACUUCUGGAAAAAGAUCAGUGCCAUUUUAAGGGCAACAGUCAAUAUCACUCUUAUUUGGAUCAUCCCAAAUUGCAAUGAAGGGUAUUACAUGUUGCAAUGCUAUAUUCAGAAGUUCAGUGAGAAGAAAUCGAAGCCUUCCCUAUGAGGAAGUUUUUGCAGUGUGCUGCCCAGUUCCCUUUCUCCAGUCCACAGUUGAUGGGAAAAGAAGCAAAAAAAGACAUGGGUGUUGAAAGCCAUGACAAAAACGUCACAGUAGCCAGCCUCAACCUGAAGUAGAGCAUAUCUAAGCAAACUGCAAAAAUGGGGCCCAGAUUCCGGGCUGAACUAUGCCAGAAGUCCACCAUUUCUAUGAAGUUUUGUUCCCAUAUCAAUAAAUUGCUCUAAUUAUUUAAAUUACCAU